UCCCUUAGUAACUGCGAGUGAAGAGGGAAAAGCUCAAAUUUAAAAUCUGGCGGUCGUUUGGCUGUCCGAGUUGUAAUCUAGAGAAGUGUUGCCCGUGCUGGACCAUGUACAAGUCUCCUGGAAUGGAGCAUCAUAGAGGGUGAGAAUCCUGUCUUUGACAUGGACUCCCAGUGCUUUUGUGGUAUGCUCUCAAAGAGUCGAGUUGUUUGGGAAUGCAGCUCAAAAUGGGUGGUAAAUGCCAUCUAAAGCUAAAUAUUGGCGAGAGACCGAUAGUGAACAAGUACCGUGAGGGAAAGAUGAAAAGAACUUUGGAAAGAGAGUUAAACAGUACGUGAAAUUGCUGAAAGGGAAACGCUUGAAGUCAGUCGCAUUGACUCGAAAUCAGCUCUGCUUUUGCUGGGUGUAUUUUCUUGCCAAUGGGUCAGCAUCAAUUUUGACCAUUGGAUAAAGUCAUUGGGAAUGUGGCAUCUUUUAGAUGUGUUAUAGCCUGGUGAUGCAUACAGUGGUUGGGAUUGAGGAAUUCAGCACGCCACCAGGCCGGGUUUUUUGACCACGUUCGUGCUUANGAUGCUGGCAUAAUGGCUUUAAUUGACCCGUCUUGAAACACGGACCAAGGAGUCUAACAUAUCUGCAAGUG
rnacentral:rRNA from 1 species